ensembl:lncRNA
CCGGGACAAGUCAAUGCACGCGGCCCCGCCGGGCGACGGGGAGAGGGAAGCAGCCAAUCGGGAGCGCGCUGUGAGCAGGGGGCGGGGCCAAAGGAGGGGCGCAGCCAACGGAAUGGUGGCGCCGCUGAUUGGCCUGGCUCCGUCCAAUGAGAGGGCGAUGAGCUCUCGGACAUGGUCAAACACCUUGGUGGUUUACCAAACAAAGCGUCUUUAAAUGGUAGGUGGGAGCUGGUGGUUGGUUGGUGCUGCAGCAGAGGUUUGUGUGCUAAGUCAGCCGUCGAAGGCAUGGGAUGGAGGUUUGACAGAGCCCAGUGUCUGAGGGCGCAGCUGCUGCAGUAGCGCCCUUCCCGUUUUGCUGACAGUGGGGUCAUUGAAGUGAUAUGGGAAUACUUGUGUGCUGGUGACAAAAGGCAUGAAGGAGCUGAAGGAAGCAGAAGAUGAUCGGGAAGCAGCGGUAUUUCAUAGGAGACAGCCCUGGUUGUCCAGAUAGGUAUCUACAGGUACUUACCGCACUGGUGACAGCAAGGACCAUGCUCAGAAUGCAGGACAGCAGCAGGAACUUCAUUGUGAGAGAGACUCCUGUGAAGCAGACAGCAAGCAGAGUUACAGAUUUGGCUGAAGGGGAGAUGUGGAGGAGCAAUGCGACUGUCCUCUGAGAGGAGCGACAGGGAAAUGGGGCAGCAGGAGCUGUGUUGCGAGUUGUGUGCACCACGUUGGGUGUCAUCAAGUGCCAGCUGUGUGUUUGAGCUGCUGAUGUGUGCAGUCAGGGUAAAUAAAGGGUGUUUUUUGAGUGGUCCUUGCCAGGAGCUGUUUCUUUGCAGCCUCACAGAAAGGCUGAGGGACCUCUGGAGCUGAUGGAGUUCACCCCCCUCCCACAUCCAGGCCCCUUCAGCAGGGUCAGCUGGAGCAGGUUUGUCCAGGACUGUGUCCAGGUGGGAUCAGAGCCUCUCCUGUGGUGGAAGCUCCACAGCCUGUAUGGACAACCUGCUCCAGCACCUGCCUGCAACAUAGCGCAGGUAAGAGCCAAGGAUCUGUGUUACCUUUGGACUGCAUGUUGAGCAGCUGGUCAGUGGAUCAGAAGGAGGCAGAUGGCUCUGGCGAUAGCAAUGCAUGGACGGCCAGUGUCUAUAUAUCUGGUUUUGGGUAGUGUGGCUUGCAUCAGAAAACCACAAGAUGUCACGAGUCAUGUCUUCUUUGGACCCGCUGAUUGUUUAGUUUAGUUACUUCCUACCUGGUAAAGCAGCCAAAUUUUUUAGUUGACCUUUAUGAUUUUUAUAUAAUCCUUGGGGGAUUGACAGGUUUGGCAAUGGGAAUACAUGUUGUGUUUGCGCUGUGAAAGGAAUGUCUGUUGUCUUUUUCACUAUGGAAGUUCUCCUAUGUGGGAAGUACUUGUGUGGUAACAACGUCCAGAGUAUUGAAGCUGCUAACUUAGAGGAAGGGUUACAGUUUCUAAAAUAGAAAAAUCAGCUAAUUGUGGAAACCCUUUCCAGGGUCCGUGUGUAUAACAACAUCAGUAGAACUCACCAUCAAUGUGUUCACCAAGGGGAAGUCAUGCCUGACGGAUUUGACAAGCUCCUGCAAUGAAACAGUCAGCCUGAUAGAUGAGGGGAGAGCUGUGAAUAUUGUCGUCUUUGGCAUCAGUAAGGCCUUUGGCACCGUCUCCUGCAAUGUCAAAAGGAAUUUGACUUCUUUGAAAGAAAGUCCUCAUCCUCAGUGAAAAGAACUGACGGUGACUGUAGAGAACAAACAAAAUGCCCCCCCAAAAUGGGCAGAAGUGGGAAUAACUGAAGAUCUAUUUGAGGAACGUGUGGAAAUCCUAAUCUGUGUCGGUGAUGUAGUUUGCCUCAGGGAACUAGGACGGUUUUAAGGAAAGUCUUCCCUGUUUGUCCUGAUGAGUUCUGUUUCACUGCAUCUUUUUCUACCACUUGGCUGGAGCAGAGCACCGGUUGGUUUUAACCUCUGUGGAGAAUAAGACAGUCCCUUGUGUGCUAACC